AGAGUUUGAUCAUGGCUCAGAACGAACGCUGGCGGCGUGCCUAACACAUGCAAGUCGAACGUGAUUAGAGAGCUUGCUCUCUAUGAAAGUGGCGCACGGGUGAGUAACGCGUAGAUAAUCUGCCUGAUGAUCGGGGAUAACACUUCGAAAGGGGUGCUAAUACCGGAUAAGCUCACGGAGUCUUUGGAUUCUGCGGGAAAAGGGGGGGACCUUCGGGCCUUCUGUCAUCAGAUGAGUCUGCGUACCAUUAGCUAGUUGGUAGGGUAAAGGCCUACCAAGGCGACGAUGGUUAGCUGGUCUGAGAGGAUGAUCAGCCACACUGGAACUGAGACACGGUCCAGACUCCUACGGGAGGCAGCAGUGGGGAAUUUUGCGCAAUGGGGGAAACCCUGACGCAGCAACGCCGCGUGAGUGAUGAAGGCUCUUGGGUCGUAAAGCUCUGACAGAGGGAAAGAAGUGUAUUGUGGCUAAUAUCCACGAUACUUGACGGUACCCUCAAAGGAAGCACCGGCUAACUCCGUGCCAGCAGCCGCGGUA
rnacentral:rRNA from 1 species